rnacentral:rRNA from 1 species
UACGUAGGGGGCAAGCGUUAUCCGGAAUUACUGGGUGUAAAGGGUGAGUAGGCGGCAUGAUAAGUAAGAUGUGAAAGCCCGCAGCUUAACUGCGGGAUUGCAUUUUAAACUAUUGAGCUAGAGUACAGGAGAGGAAAGCGGAAUUCCCAGUGUAGCGGUGAAAUGCGUAGAUAUUGGGAAGAACACCAGUGGCGAAGGCGGCUUUCUGGACUGAAACUGACGCUGAGGCACGAAAGCGUGGGGAGCGAACAGGAUUAGAUACCCGGGUAGUCCACGCCGUAAACGAUGAGUGCUAGGUGUCGGAGGGGAACCUUCGGUGCCGCAGCAAACGCAAUAAGAACUCCACCGGGGGAGUACGCCGGCAACGGUGAA